rnacentral:lncRNA from 1 species
GCUUAGUAUCUUUUGUAGGGAUUUGAAGACAAUAUUGACUAAAUUGGGAGGAGAAGCAAUUUUGAAAAGACAUAUGGGUCAGGUGACAUCUCUCCUUUUUUUUCUUUUUGUCUGCACCUUUUUAUUUUUCCUACUCUAUUGAGGGCAAUAUCAAUUAAGUUGGGAGAGAGAAUAAUAAUUUUUUUAAAAUUUUUUUUGAGUAAGUUAGUAUUUAGUAUUUAAGCACAUGAUUACGCUUAAGAAUCAAGUUAAACUAAGUAUUUUUUAAAAAAAUUAAUAUAUAGAUUAGAGAGUUUAUGAGAUACCGAG